rnacentral:rRNA from 1 species
GACGAACGCUGGCGGCGUGCCUAAUACAUGCCAGUAGAACGCACGGUUUAUACCGUAGCUUGCUACACCAUAGACUGUGAGUUGCGAACGGGUGAGUAACGCGUAGGUAACCUGCCUGGUAGCGGGGGAUAACUAUUGGAAACGAUAGCUAAUACCGCAUAAUAUUAAUUAUUGCAUGAUAAUUAAUUGAAAGGUGCAAUUGCACCACUACCAGAUGGACCUGCGUUGUAUUAGCUAGUAGGUGAGGUAACGGCUCACCUAGGCGACGAUACAUAGCCGACCUGAGAGGGUGAUCGGCCACACUGGGACUGAGACACGGCCCAGACGCCUACGGGAGGCAGCAGUAGGGAAUCUGCGGCAAUGGACGAAAGUCUGACCGAGCAACGCCGCGUGAGUGAAGAAGGUUGUCGGAUCGUAAAGCUCUGUUGUAAGAGAAGAACGGGUGUGAGAGUGGAAAGUUCACACUGUGACGGUAUCUGACCAGAAAGGGACGGCUAACUACGUG